rnacentral:rRNA from 1 species
AAGAGAUGUGUGAUGACGCAUAUCAAUAAGCGGAGGAAAAGAAACUAACUAGGAUUCCCUUAGUAACGGCGAGUGAAGCGGGAAGAGCUCAAAUUUGAAAUCUUCAAGGUUUUACCUUGACGAAUUGUAGUUUAAAGAAGUGUUUUCUGUUGGAGUUUUCGGUAAAAGUUCUUUGGAAUAGGACAUCAUAGAGGGUGAGAAUCCCGUAUUUGACCAUUUACUUUCCAGCUGUGUGAUACACUUUCAAAGAGUCGGAUUGUUUGGGAAUGCAGUCCAAAAUGGGUGGUAAAUUUCAUCUAAAGCUAAAUAUUGGCGAGAGACCGAUAGCGAACAAGUACCGUGAGGGAAAGAUGAAAAGAACUUUGAAAAGAGAGUUAAACAGUACGUGAAAUUGUCAAAAGGGAAGCGUUUGACACCAGUGUUGUUUAGUUGAAAAUCAAUUCAAUAGUUUUUGAUUCUAAGUAGUAUUGACUUCAUCAGCUUGCUGCUUUCUUCUCAGAAAUUAUUGAAUGCACUUUUCAGUUAACGAGUCAACAUCAAUUUCUUUUGUUGUAAAAGGGUAAGAGGAAGGUGGCUUGCGCUUCGGCUCAAGUGUUUAUAGCCUUUUAUCUCUGCAAUCGGAGAGAUUGAGGUCUGCAGCGUAGAUCCUUCGGGGUUAGAUACAUUGGUGCUAAGCUAUAGCCUUGUAUAGACAACUUGUUGACUAUGCUCAGUCAUGUAGCUUACUCGCUGAUGCUAUUUUACCUACGCUUAGGAUGUUGACAGCAGUAUAGACUGU